GCGCUAUAUAAAUAUCAUAAUAAUAAUCAUAAGUGUGACAAGACCAAUCUCGCCACAUUGCAUUGGAGAAGCCUGGUUGCUCGCCUGUUGCCUUUGGAUUAUGGCUCCAUGUUAAAAGGCUUGAUUUUCCCCUGCAAAGACAUGGAAGCCGGGUCAUUUGGUGCUUGCCCUGUUUGAGCGGUGAUACCCCAGAUAGCUUUGCCAUGGAGCCCAUUCGUUUAAUGAAAGACUAUGGGAAAGACUUUGGCUCCAAGGCAAUUGAACUGUAUGUGUGUUAUCUGAGCGCCACUCAGUAAUAAUGUGCGCUCAGAUCUAAGCUAUCUGGGGAUAUAUUGAAUGUACCUGUUUUGUGCAAUGGCUGCACAGUUAUAUGUUUUUAUGUGUUUUAUUGUCUUUUGCUGCCAUGUGUUCAAUGGAGUUUUGCCUCUGUCCUUGGAGAUAAUUGGAUUACUUCCCAAUUAUCUCCAGGAUAGAAGACUCUGUGGAACUGGUUUUGGGCAGAAAAGCCAUGCUUCCUUUGGUCACAAAGGACUACGAUCUAUCUUUUGAACCACUGGACCAAUUUGUAUGAUUUUGACGUAUGUUUGUAUUUGGAGUAUGCUGAUCCUGAAAAUGUAUACAUGAAUGUGAUGCAUACUUUUCAAGUUAUGAAUAAUGUGGAAAAAUUGUAUUUCUCUGCUUGUUAUAAUUACAUUACCCAUUGUGUAAGGUAAUUCAAUCACAGGCAGAGGGAAGGAUUUUGUGUGGGAGUGUCUGAGUGUAUUGUAUGUGUUUAUUGGUUGUGUUCCAAAACCCUGUGGGUGGUACUAAUGUGUAUAUAAGAACAAUAAACCCACAGCUCUGUCUGUUCACUGCUUGACCCUCAACACGGAGAUUUGUCUCGUUCUUGGGGGGAUUUAUUGUAUGCUGUUCCAGUUUGACUGCUAGGAGUGCAAAACCUUUCGUAUGGUUUUUCCUAUUCGGCUAUUUAAAGCAUUCGUAUGGUUCCGGUUCGGCUGUUUACAACAUUCAUAUGCGUCUCUGGUUCGGUGGAUUGGUGUCUACAGUAGAUGUGCCUGUGUCUCUGGAAAGGGAAGAUCUACUAAACGGCGGUUUAACCCUUUUAUGCCUGGGGGUGCCGUUACAAUUGGUGGCAAGCGGCGGGAUCGUUCCUACAGCCAGAAGGACAGCUACAGGAGACACCAUUUCUUUGGAUUUACAAGUGGGGCCAACGCAUGUACCCAGUACAGCGACCCUAAAAGCAACAGAAUGGAACCAGCAGUGUUAUACGAGGAGGAGGACCUGGAUGGCCGGGAUGCAUUAAGGAAAGGCAUCUGGUACCAGGCCCUGGAUAAUGUACAAUACCAGUGGGGUGAGAGUCUCCUCAGUGAAGAGUAGCGGUUGCAGAAGCAAGUGGCCCUGCGGAUGCCCUUCCUGGGAGAGCAGCCCCUGGAGGAAUGGUGAAGGAACUAGAGCACCGGGUAUGGCAGUGUACCUUGCAGGGAGAGGAGAGCAGUGUCCUCCCUCCCCAGCGGCAGAGUGAGCUACAGGGAUGCUGGGCGGUCGGCUCAGAUCCCCAGCGGCAGUUUGAAUUGCAGGGAAUUGGGAGCCCAGUCUCCAUUCCCCAGCGGCAGGCUGAGUUACAGGGGACAGAGAUAGUUGCUCCUGUCCCCCAGCAGCAGAAUGAUUUGCAGGGAAUUGGGAGCCCAGUCUCCAUUCCCCAGCGGCAGUAUGAGUUAUUGGGAAUUGGGAGCCCAGUCUCCAUUACCCAGCGGGAGAUAUUGCGGGGAAUUGGGAGCCCAAGCUCCAUUCCCCAGCGGUAGGCUGAGUUACAGGGGACAGAGAUAGUUGCUUCUGUCCCCCAGCAGCAGAGUGAAUUGCAGGGAAUUGGGAGCCCAAGCUCCAUUCCCCAGCGGCAGGCUGAGUUACAGGGGACAGAGAUAGUUGGUCCUGUCCCUCAGCGGCAGUGUACCUUGCAGGGAGAGGAGAGCAGCGUCCUCCCUCCCCAGUGGCAGGGUGAGCUACAGGGAUGCUGGGCAGUCGGCUCAGAUCCCCAGCGGCAGUGUGAAUUACAGGGAAUUGGGAGCCCAGUCUCCAUUCCCCAGCGGCAGUAUGGGGAAUAACUAGCAGUAAGCAGCACUAAUUACCCAAUUUCCCAUAACUCCCACCCCAACUAGCAAAAUAUAUAAUUUGAAAAUAUUUAAAUUAGUUAAUUAAAUAAAUUUAACUAGGGAUCAACCGAUUAUCGGUUUUACCAAUAUUAUCGGCCGAUAUUCUGUAUUUUUGGCCAAUAAAGAUACCGAUAUUGCUGAUAAUACAUACCAGAACCGCCGGGCUCAUUACCAGCCCGGCAGUCCUGCACACACACACACUGCAUUAUAUACACACACACACACUGCAUUAUAUACACACUACACAAACACACACACACUGCAUUCAUUAUGUACACACACUACACAAACACACACUGCAUUCAUUAUAUACACACACUACACAAACACACUGCAUUCACUAGACACACACUUCAUUCACUUUACGCACACUACACAAACACACUGCAUUCACUUUACACACACUACACACUGCAUUCACUUUACGUACACUACACACACUGCAUGCACUUUACGCACACUACAUACACACACUACAUUCACUAGUUACUUACCUUCCCAGCAGCUCCCUUCAGCUCCCCUUUACAAAUCUCGCGAGUCCCGCGGCUUCAGAUCGUUGCCACAGGUUACCAUGGCAACGAUCAGCGCGGCACACAGACCGCGAGAUUUACACAGGGG
rnacentral:lncRNA from 1 species